CGAAAGUUGCGCUAAUACCGCAUAUUCUGUGAGCAGGAAAGCGAGGGGACCGCAAGGCCUUGCGCUCUUUGAGCGGCCGAUGUCAGAUUAGCUAGUUGGUGAGGUAAGGCUUACCAAGGCGACGAUCUGUAGGCGGGUCUGAGAGGAUGAUCCGCCACACUGGAACUGAGACACGGUCCAGACUCCGUACGGGAGGCAGCAGGUGGGGUAAUUUUGGACAAUGGGGCAACCCUGAUCCAGCCAUGCCGCGUGAGUGAAGAAGGCCUUCGGGUUGUAAAGCUCUUUCGGCCGGGAAGAAAUCGCAUGGGUGAAUACCCUGUGUGGAUGACGGUACCGGAACAAGAAGCACCGGCUAACUACGUG
rnacentral:rRNA from 1 species